AUGAACGCUGGCGGCGUGCUUAACACAUGCAAGUCGAACGGAGUUUUUAACGGAAGUUUCGGAUGGAAGUUUAAGAACUUAGUGGCGGACGGGUGAGUAACGCGUGGGUAACCUGCCUCAUACAGGGGGAUAACAGUUAGAAAUGACUGCUAACACCGCAUAAUAUAGUGAAACCGCAUGAUUUUGCUAUCAAAUAUUUAUAGGUAUGAGAUGGGCCCGCGUCUGAUUAGCUAGUUGGUGGGGUAAAAGCCUACCAAGGCGACGAUCAGUAGCCGGCUUGAGAGAGUGACCGGCCACAUUGGGACUGAGACACGGCCCAAACUCCUACGGGAGGCAGCAGUGGGGAAUAUUGGACAAUGGGGGAAACCCUGAUCCAGCGAACCGCCGCGUGAGUGAAGAAGUAUUUCGGUAUGUAAAGCUCUAUCAGCAGGGAAGAUAAUGACAGUACCUGACUAAGAAGCCCCGGCUAACUACGUGCCAGCAGCCGC
rnacentral:rRNA from 1 species